rnacentral:sRNA from 1 species
GAAUGAGAGACUCCCUGGCUUCUGUCUUCAAGGGCUUUUCCUUAAUGAACCCCAACUCUGCCACUCAGAUCUCAGUGAAUAUCUUCCGGACUCUGCCGCCCAGUGAGAACCCUGAAUUUGACCCUGAAGAGGAUGAGCCCAAUCUUGAGCCUUCGUGGCCACACCUGCAGCUGGUAUAUGAGUUUUUCCUGCGUUUCUUGGAGAGCCCAGACUUCCAGCCCUCCGUGGCCAAGAGAUAUGUGGAUCAAAAGUUUGUCCUGAUGCUCCUGGAGCUAUUUGAUAGCGAGGAUCCCCGGGAGCGUGAGUACCUCAAGACCAUCCUGCACCGGGUCUAUGGCAAGUUCCUGGGUCUCCGGGCCUACAUCCGCAAACAGUGCAACCACAUCUUCCUCCGGUUCAUCUAUGAA